rnacentral:rRNA from 1 species
AUGCCUACGAGCUUUUCACAUCUUGUGCUUCGCGUAUUUACUUUUCCAUUGCUACUGUUACAAUUAUUACAAAACUAUUAUAUUUUCCGUUUCCACUGUUACCUUUAUUAUCAUACCACUUUAUUACUAAAUACUUUGCUGCAGAUACUAAGUUAUCCAGGUGUGGCUGAAUUGACAACUCAACUGCUAAUACUUACGAAUAUUCUUUGGCUCCCCUUGUGUCGAAUCAAUAAAUUUGGGUUGAAUACUUUACACUCGAAAGAUGUUGCGAUCCCCUACACUUGUGGGUUAUCAAGACUAAUUUCUAGCGUCGUUGCCGGGGAGCAUAGCUCUAUUCUUUGA